rnacentral:rRNA from 1 species
GAUGAACGCUGGCGGCGUGCCUAAUACAUGCAAGUCGAGCGAAUGGAUUAAGAGCUUGCUCUUAUGAAGUUAGCGGCGGACGGGUGAGUAACACGUGGGUAACCUGCCCAUAAGACUGGGAUAACUCCGGGAAACCGGGGCUAAUACCGGAUAACAUUUUGAACCGCAUGGUUCGAAAUUGAAAGGCGGCUUCGGCUGUCACUUAUGGAUGGACCCGCGGCGCAUUAGCUAGUUGGGGAGGUAACGGCUCACCAAGGCCACGAUGUUUAGCCGACAGGAGGGGGUCAGCGGCCACACUGGGACUGGGGCACGGCCCAGACUCCUACGGGAGGCAGCAGUAGGGAAUCUUCCGCAAUGGACGAAGGUCUGACGGAGCAACGCCGCGUGAGUGAUGAAGGCUUUCGGGUCGUAAAACUCUGUUGUUAGGGAAGAACAAGUGCUAGUUGAAUAAGCUGGCACCUUGACGGUACCUAACCAGAAAGCCACGGCUAACUACGUGCCAGCAGCCGCCGCCG